CAGGAACUUGUGAUUUUUCCUUUUCUUAAAGUGCGAUAGAUACGAUAUGAUCGGUGGUUGGAUCGAUGGAACAGGUAAUCCCUAAGCUUAGAUGGUUUGGAGUGCGAGGGACUCGGAGAUGGCCACACUACUGUUUCUGUUUCUUUUAAUUACAAUAAGUAGCCGAUUUAUUUCUUUAUAAGUUUUAUGUUAUUAAUAUUAUUAUUUGGUUUUGGGUUGUAAUAAGGCCAUUUUAAUUAUAUUUCUGGGAUUAUUUUAUUUUAUACCUUAUAUUUUACUAAUAACAA